UGUGUUGGCCCAAGGAACAUAAAUUAAAUACACUCACAUACAGACUCAGAUACUCGUACUUAUUAUGCAUUACCUAAUGAAAAGUGGGCUGGCUGGGAUCUGGGCAGCAGCAGGCACGGUUGGAACUCUCAGUGGGGCUGACAGGAGGCGAGGCGCAACAGGACGAGGCGUUGCUGCAGGGACGAAAGCCAAAGGCAAUGUGGCUCCGGGCAACAAACAAAGAUGAUGCGGAUAUCACUGCGUCUGCUGUUGUUGGAAGUGCAACGGAAAUGCGGGACUCCGGCCCCUAGUUGAGGGGUUGCGGGAGGAUGAGUAUGGAAGGCUGCUGGAAGCGUCGGCAGCGUGUGGGAAAACCCGAAGAGAAACAAUAAAAGCGCGCGCGAGAGCCGGGCAAAUGUUGGAGAAAUUAAACACGCCAAGUGUUGGGCGUGGCGGAAGGCGUAAUAGAAGUUAGCGCGGCGCGAGAAAAACUGAAGCCAAUGCAAUUGUAAUGCGGGGAAAGCAUGCAGAGACAGCAGCCAGACAGUCAGACAGCCAGACAGCCAGAUAAACAGACAUACAGAUGAAAGACAAACAAACACAAACAAAGCCUGCUCACACACACACACACACACAUACAAAUUGAGGUUAUGUUAGACGUUGCUUUGGCCCCAAAAACUCGUUUCGGCACUUAAAUGCCAAUGCACACACACACACACACACACACACAUCAUUGCCGAGCUUAGAUAUGACGAAGGCAGGUUUGAGUGGUGGUUGAUGAUGGUAGGCAAGGGGGUUGGGCAGGGGCCGGUGGGGCAGCUUUUGUGCGCUGUUGGUCUGCGGCGUAUCCGGUUUUUGAGUGUACGUUAUUAGCCCGCUGCU